AGAGUUUGAUCAUGGCUCAGAUUGAACGCUGGCGGGAUGCCUUACACAUGCAAGUCGAACGGCAGCACGGACUUCGGUCUGGUGGCGAGUGGCGAACGGGUGAGUAAUGUAUCGGAACGUACCCAGUAGCGGGGGAUAACUACGCGAAAGCGUAGCUAAUACCGCAUACGUCCUACGGGAGAAAGCGGGGGACCUUCGGGCCUCGCACUAUUGGAGCGGCCGAUAUCGGAUUAGCUAGUUGGUGGGGUAAAGGCCUACCAAGGCGACGAUCCGUAGCUGGUUUGAGAGGACGACCAGCCACACUGGGACUGAGACACGGCCCAGACUCCUACGGGAGGCAGCAGUGGGGAAUUUUGGACAAUGGGGGAAACCCUGAUCCAGCCAUCCCGCGUGUGCGAUGAAGGCCUUCGGGUUGUAAAGCACUUUUGGCAGGAAAGAAACGGCUCCGGAUAAUACCUGGAGCAACUGACGGUACCUGCAGAAUAAGCACCGGCUAACUACGUGCCAGCCGCCGCGGUAAUAC
rnacentral:rRNA from 1 species